AUUGAACGCUGGCGGCAGGCCUAACACAUGCACGUCGAACGAGUGGCGGACGGGUGAGUAAUGUCUGGGAAAAUGCCUGAUGGAGGGGGAUAAAUACUGGAAACGGUAGCUAAUACCGCAUACCCUCAGAUGUGCCCAGAUGGGAUUAGCUAGUUGGUGGGGUAACGGCUCACCAAGGCGACGAUCCCUAGCUGGUCUGAGAGGAUGACCUGCCACACUGGAACUGAUACACGGUCUAGACUCCUACGUGAGGCAGCAGUGGGGAAUAUUGCACAAUGGGCGCAACCCUGAUGCAGCCAUGCCUCGUGUAUGAAGAAGGCCUUCGGGUUGUAAAGUACUUUCAUCGGGGAGGCGUUACCCGCAGAAGAAGCACCGGCUAACUCCGUGCCAGCAGUCGCGGUAAUAC
rnacentral:rRNA from 1 species